GUAGGUGGCAAGCGUUGUCCGGAAUUAUUGGGCGUAAAGCGCGCGCAGGCGGUUCUUUAAGUCUGAUGUGAAAGCCCACGGCUCAACCGUGGAGGGUCAUUGGAAACUGGAGAACUUGAGUACAGAAGAGGAAAGCGGAAUUCCACGUGUAGCGGUGAAAUGCGUAGAGAUGUGGAGGAACACCAGUGGCGAAGGCGGCUUUCUGGUCUGUAACUGACGCUGAGGCGCGAAAGCGUGGGGAGCAAACAGGAUUAGAUACCCUGGUAGUCCACGCCGUAAACGAUGAGUGCUAAGUGUUAGGGGGGUUUUCCGCCCCCCUUAGUGCUGCAGCUAACGCAUUAAGCACUCCGCCUGGGAUACGGCCGCAAGGCUG
rnacentral:rRNA from 1 species